rnacentral:lncRNA from 1 species
UAAAGAUUCUAAUAUAUAUACGUAACUAAUCAACUAAGUAAAUAUUAAUCUUUAAGUAUAAAACAAAUGUGCUUAAGUAUAAAUUCAUAUACACACAUACACAUGUAUAUAGAUGAAUCAAAACAAAGAAAAAAGUCAUUUAUGUUAACCGGAUAAAUAAGAACAUAAUUUAAAAAUCAUUAAAAACUUGAUUUUCAUAUCCAUAUCUAACAAGUGAAUGAACUAUAAUAAUUGAUUUCUCUUAUAAAAGAACAAAUGAAAUAAAUCAAUUACAUACAAUCCC